rnacentral:rRNA from 1 species
UGCAGUCGACGGUGAAGCCCUUCGGGGUGGAUCAGUGGCGAACGGGUGAGUAACACGUGGGCAAUCUGCCCUGCAUUCUGGGACAAGCCUUGGAAACGGGGUCUAAUACCGGAUACGACGCAUCUCCGCAUGGGGUGUGCGUGGAAAGCUCCGGCGAUGCAGGAUGAGCCCGCGGCCUAUCAGCUUGUUGGUGGGGUAAUGGCCUACCAAGGCGACGACGGGUAGCCGGCCUGAGAGGGCGACCGGCCACACUGGGACUGAGACACGGCCCAGACUCCUACGGGAGGCAGCAGUGGGGAAUAUUGCACAAUGGGCGGAAGCCUGAUGCAGCGACGCCGCGUGGGGGAUGACGGCCUUCGGGUUGUAAACCUCUUUCAGCAGGGAAGAAGCGCAAGUGACGGUACCUGCAGAAGAAGCACCGGCUAACUACGUGCCAGCAGCCGCGGUAAUACGUAGGGUGCGAGCGUUGUCCGGAUUUAUUGGGCGUAAAGAGCUCGUAGGCGGCCUGUCGCGUCGGAUGUGAAAGCCCGGGGCUUAACUCCGGGUCUGCAUUCGAUACGGGCAGGCUGGAGUGUGGUAGGGGAGAUCGGAAUUCCUGGUGUAGCGGUGAAAUGCGCAGAUAUCAGGAGGAACACCGGUGGCGAAGGCGGAUCUCUGGGCCAUUACUGACGCUGAGGAGCGAAAGCGUGGGGAGCGAACAGGAUUAGAUACCCUGGUAGUCCACGCCGUANACGUUGGGAACUAGGUGUGGGUCACAUUCCACGUGGUCCGCGCCGCAGCUAACGCAUUAAGUUCCCCGCCUGGGGAGUACGGCC